rnacentral:rRNA from 1 species
UACAGAGGUCUCAAGCGUUUGUUCGGAUUCAUUGGGCGUAAAGGGUGUGUAGGUGGCGCGCUAAGUCGGGUGUGAAAUUUCGGAGCUUAACUCCGAAACUGCAUUCGAUACUGGCGUGCUUGAGGACUGGAGAGGAGACUGGAAUUCAUGGUGUAGCAGUGAAAUGCGUAGAGAUCAUGAGGAAGACCAGUGGCGAAAGGCGGGGUCUCUGGACAGUUCCUGACACUGAGACACGAAGGCCAGGGGAGCAAAACGGG